AGUGACCUGCGGUGUGCGUGUUUAUAGGGAUAUUUCUCUUGCGACAAGUCAUAUCCAUGGGGCUCCUAAAUGCUUUGGACUGAAUUGUUAUCCCUUGCGGAGAAACAGGAUGUCCUGGAACGGAACCCCACUUGAACAAUAGAGUUCAAGAGGAUGAGUUCCCAAAACGGCAUCGCGGGUUUAUU
rnacentral:other from 2 species